GACCCAUGUUGGACAAUAUUUCAUUUGUAUAUUCUCUUCAGUACAAUUCCAAUAAAAUAAAAGCAACACUUUUACAAUUGUUUAAAAAGAUUUUAUUUAGUUAUUUGAGAUAAAGAGAUAGUGAUGGAGAUAGUGAGAGAGCACAAGUGGGGAGGAGAGGGAGAAGCAGGCUCCUGGCUGAGCAGGGAGCCCCACGUGGGGCUCGAUCCCAGGACCCGGGUUCAUGAUCUGAGUGAAGGCAGACGUUUAAUGGAUUGAGCCAUCCAGGUGUCCUGAGAACAAUAGAUUUCAAAUUUUUUUCACUUCUCGAACUUUUCAGGAAAGAAAAAUAUCCAGAAAGAAGAAUGAGCUCCUCGAUGAGAAGGAUAUGGUGGAGACUUGGCCUCUCAACAUCAAAGCUUACAAACCGCUAAUGCUCCCGUGUGUGGUAUGACUGCAAAGAGUCACCUGAGAAGAGCAGGUGGAUGGAAUCCCGUUUAGGUGAUUGAAGGGAGCUCCUCCAUAAGGACAUCCAUGUGAAACUGGCCGGACGCCCCUGUGCCUUCAGUCAAGUGACACACGGGCGUCUCACACAGCGGGUUUCUGAAGGUGAAUUACACCUGCGAACCAAACAAUCCUCACUUGUCAGAGGAUUAUGGGAUUGCUGUUUAUGCAAAGGGAAACAUCAGGAUAAGCAAAUAUGGAAGAGAAAACCCCUCUGGAGCAGAGGAGUUUGAAGACGAAGAAGAAACAACUCGAGAGCAUUUGCAAUGCAAACCCUACUGGACAUCUGAGCCUAAUUUAUCGGUUGUAAGAAAGGGGACCAGACACGAGUCAUUUCUGCUCCACGAUUCAGGAGAACGUGCAGCUUCUGGUGUUUUCCAGCAAGCGCACUGCCCCUGGUUAUCUAUCUGCGAUGCUUCUGGUGACUCAAGGCAGCAUCUAUCCUGGUAACGUUUCUAAACAACAAGGCUCUUGAAGGCUCAGCCACUGGGGACGAUAUCACGUUCCCCAUGCAGACUCCUACCACUGAUCAGGGGAUGGACACGCUGGCAUAGUGGCUUCACUUUUCUCUCUGUGGUCUUUUCCCAUCAACCCGGUGAAGGAGCGCUGCUGUCCUCAGACAUGAGUGGACGUUCCUAUAUCCCAUUUCUUAACUCUGUAGGCUCCACCGUCCAUUGCCCAGUGGGUACACGCCCCACUUCUUGUAGGGGGAGCUUGCAUUUUCAGAUCAGGACUUGUCUAAGGUGGGUGUACCAAUAAAUAGCAUGCCC
rnacentral:lncRNA from 12 species